rnacentral:rRNA from 1 species
AUUGAACGCUGGUGGCAGGCUUAACACAUGCAAGUCGAACGGUAACAGGAAUUAGCUUGCUACUUUGCUGACGAGUGGCGGACGGGUGAGUAAUGCUUGGGAAUCUGGCUUAUGGAGGGGGAUAACUACGGGAAACUGUAGCUAAUACCGCGUAAAAUCUUCGGAUUAAAGGGUGGGACUUUCGAGCCACCUGCCAUAAGAUGAGCCCAAGUGGAAUUAGGUAGUUGGUUAGGUAAAGGCUGACCAAGCCGACGAUCUCUAGCUGGUCUGAGAGGAUGACCAGCCACACUGGAACUGAGACACGGUCCAGACUCCUACGGGAGGCAGCAGUGGGGAAUAUUGCACAAUGGGGGGAACCCUGAUGCAGCCAUGCCGCGUGAAUGAAGAAGGCCUUCGGGUUGUAAAGUUCUUUCGGUGACGAGGAAGGUUGAUAGGUUAAUAGCCUAUCAAAUUGACGUUAAUCACAGAAGAAGCACCGGCUAACUCCGUG